UAUCACUAACAUCGAUGUUUUUCUCGAUAGUCUGGUAAUGUGCAGUACAUUUAGACAUAUGAAAAAUGUUAGAGGGAACUACCUAUAAUCUGUGCACAUUACCAAACUAUCUUUAUUGUUAUGUUGAUUUGUAUUGAAGAACAGGACACCGAAGUUUGGACAAAAACACGAAUUGUAUGGAUGAGAGAACAGCGUUUGAAAAAUGAAAAUUGGAUAAUAAAAAGAAAAUGCGAAAUAUGCAUCGGAUGUUGGAGGGAAAUAUUGUAAUUGUUGAUUUGCAUUGAAGAACAGGACACCGGAAGCUUGGACAGAAACACGAAUUGUAUUGCCAUGGAUGAGAGAACAGCUUUUGAAAAAUGAAAAUUGGAUAAUAAAAAAAAUGCGAAAUAUGCAUCGGAUGUUGGAGGGAAAUAUUGUAAUUGUUGAUUUGCAUUGAAGAACAGGACACCGGAAGCUUGGACAGAAACACGAAUUGUAUUGCCAUGGAUGGGAUAAUAAAAACAAAAUACGAAAUAUGCAUCGGAUUCUCUUCAAAUGUUACGCAUCCUAAUAUUGAUGACACAUGAUCGGUGUGAAAAUGGGAUAUAUGUUCAACCUCCUCCACAACGAGUCAGCAUUUUGAAUAACAGAGCGGUAAUAAAAAGCAUUGAAGAACAAGACACCUGGAGCUUAGACAGAAACACGAAUUGUAUUGCCAUGGAUGGGAUAAUAAAAACAAAAUACGAAAUAUGCAUCGGGUUCUCUUCAAAUGUUACGCAUCCUAAUAUUGAUGACAUAUGAUCGGUGUGAAAAUGGGAUAUAUGUUCAACCUCCUCCACAACGAGUCAGCAUUUUGAAUAACAGAGCGGUGAAAAAAAGCAUUGAAGACCAAGACACCUGGAGCUUAGAAACUUGAAAAUUGCAUAAUGAAAACAAAAUGCGAAAUAUGCAUCGGAUUCUCUUUAUUUUACGCAUCCCAAUAUUGAUGACACAUGAUCGGUGUGAAGAUGGGAUAUAUAUAGAACUAAAUGGUAAUAAAAGGCAAAAUAAGCAUCCGAAUCUCUUCAAAUUUUACACUUCGGAACAACAAGAUGUGGUAUGAAGAUGUUGGAUAUUGGUCUUAUUCUGGUACCUCCGCCACAAAUGAUCACAAUUUCAAAUACUUAUAGCUCUCAUAACAUGCGGAACAAGUCAGUGAUUCUAUGUGAACUUGGUAUAUUAAAAUAUUUCUGUCAACCAGAGAUCAAUAGUGGAAUUUUGUUUUGAGUUACCGACAAAAGUCAGUGAAAUUGAAAUGCUUAUAAUUUCGGUAAUUACGAGUUUUUUUUUCGGAAAGUUAGCGAUGAAAUCAAAGUAGUAUGUAAGACCUACCAAUGUUGUCAACUUUAACUUAUUGUUUAUAUCCAGAUUUUGGAUUUCGAAGUUAAAGAUUUUUGUCGGUAACUCAAAAAAUGAGUUAGAGAAUCCCACUAUUGAUGUGAAUAUAAGAUUUAUCAGCCUUUUGCUAUGUCCGCCACAAAAAAUUUAAAUCUAUAAAUAUAAGCAUAAAAUAAUAAA